rnacentral:rRNA from 1 species
GGUGAACGCUGGCGGCGUGCUUAAGACAUGCAAGUCGAACGGGCUCUUCGGAGCCAGUGGCGCACGGGUGAGUAACGCGUAACUGACCUACCCCAAAGUCGCGGAUAACGAUUCGAAAGAAUCGCUAAUACGUGAUGUGCUGUCAGAUCCUGUUCUGCCAGUAAAGAUUUAUUGCUUGGGGAUGGGGUUGCGUUCCAUCAGCUAGUUGGUGGGGUAAAGGCCCACUAAGGCGACGACGGAUCGCCGGCCUGAGAGGGUGGCCGGCCACAGGGGCACUGAGACACGGGUCCCACACCUGCGGGAGGCAGCAGUUAGGAAUCUUCCACAAUGGGCGAAAGCCUGAUGGAGCGACGCCGCGUGAGGGAUGAAGGUCUUCGGAUCGUAAACCUCUGAAUCAGGGACGAAAGACGCGAAAGCGGGAUGACGGUACCUGAGUAAUAGCACCGGCUAACUCCGUG